GAUGAACGCUGGCGGCGUGCCUAAUACAUGCAAGUCGAGCGAACGGACGAGAAGCUUGCUUCUCUGAUGUUAGCGGCGGACGGGUGAGUAACACGUGGAUAACCUACCUAUAAGACUGGGAUAACUUCGGGAAACCGGAGCUAAUACCGGAUAAUAUUUUGAACCGCAUGGUUCAAGAGUGAAAGACGGUCUUCCUGUCACUUAUAGAUGGAUCCGCGCUGCAUUAGCUAGUUGGUAAGGUAACGGCUUACCAAGGCAACGAUGCAUAGCCGACCUGAGAGGGUGAUCGGCCACACUGGAACUGAGACACGGUCCAGACUCCUACGGGAGGCAGCAGUAGGGAAUCUUCCGCAAUGGGCGAAAGCCUGACGGAGCAACGCCGCGUGAGUGAUGAAGGUCUUCGGAUCGUAAAACUCUGUUAUUAGGGAAGAACAUAUGUGUAAGUAACUGUGCACAUCUUGACGGUACCUAAUCAGAAAGCAACGGCUAACUACGUG
rnacentral:rRNA from 1 species